UUUUUCUUUUUCUUUUCUUUUUUUGUCUUUUUAGGGCCGCACCCGUGGCAUAUGGAAGUUCCCAGGUUAGGGGUCAGAUCAGAGCUGUAGCUGCUGGCCUACGCCAGAGCCACAGCAACGCCAGGUCUGAUCUGUGUCUGUACCAACACCACAGCUCAAGGCAAUGCCAGAUUCUUAACGCACUGAUCAAGGCCAGGGAUCAAACCCACAUUCUCAUGGAUACUAGUUGGGUUCAUUACGUCUAAGCCACGAUAGAAACUCUUUAGUUUGGUUCAUUGUGUAGCAGACAGUUCCUGAACUGCUCCUUGUGUCUCUCCUGAGACAUUCCCAGCUCUGGAAGUGAGUGUGCGGCAGGCUGGACGUGGAGAAUUAAUACCCCCAGGGUAAUCCUCAAACAAGAAGGGUCCAGAGUGAGUGGAUAAACCCUCUAGCUUUCAGUCCCUCUGAGAGCAGGGCAAUUCCCAGUUUCUAGGCAUGUUCUAGUCUCAGGGACACUCCAGCAGAAUAGAACCUAAGUUGUCCCUGGGGAAAAGCUGCUUAUCCCUGUGUGCUUUGCUAGCUUUCCUCUCUUGCUUGUCUCACUUCUCUACUCCCUCAGCUUGCUUCUGGGAUCACCUCCUAAAUAAACAACUUGUAUCCAGAUCUGUCUCAGGGUCAGCUUUUAGGGGAACCCAAACUGAGACAAUGAACAACAACUCUUGCUAAGUGCUUUUUCAUUUCACCUGUUAAUUUCUUAACAUCCCCUGAAGGAGGUGUCCUUAACCCCAUUUGACAAAUGAAGAACAAAGAGAUGAAUACAAAGGCAAGGAUUCAAACUCACAUCUGUGUAGUUCUAAAACCUGUGUAGCUCCUUAACCACUAUGCUCUGUGGCCUCCCUAAUUGUCUGAUCUUUGCUGGGCCUUAUUUUUUUCACCUAUAAAAUGAGGAAUGGGCUUUUGAGUUUGAAGGGAGGCAAGGUACCCAGUGACUCCUGCAGUUAGGCCUGGUCAUUGAGAUGUAAGCAGAAGUUAUUGGGAGAGAAAGUGCUUUAAAGGGACUGAUUCGGGCGUUCCCUUCAUGGCUCAGCGGUUAAUGAACCCGACUAGGAUCCAUGAGGAUGUGGGUUUGAUCCCUGGCCUCGCUCAGCUUAAUAUGAUCAAAUAACUAGUCUGAGGUCACACGGCUAAGUGACAGAGCUGGAAGUUGCUCCCAUUCCACCAUCCUGCCUCCCAGUACCCUAGCCUUAAAAAAAAAAAAACUGCUCAAGGCCACUCCUUCAUGAAGUCUCCCCUGAGUUCCCCCAACCUGAUGUGAGCUUUUCCUCUUGUGGAUGCCAGGGAUGUGGUUUCAACCUCUCCUGGCACACCCUGCCUGUCCAAGAGCCAUCACAGCAAGUGUUCAGGAGACGCAGCGAGGAUGCUUUCAUGCACCAGGCUUUUUGCUGUUUUACAUGCUUCUCAAUUUACUCCUCUCCAAAUUCCUAGCUUUUACCUUCUCAUCAGACCGCAUCUCCUUCCCCAGAGCACAGGAAUGCCACAGGGGCCAGGGAGAGAGUUCUUGCACCCUCACCGCCUGGAGCACAGGGCUCUGCACACUUAGUAACUGAGGGCUGUACUUACAGACUCUAAAUGUGGGCCCCUCAGGGGAGGAAGGGCCUGAGAUGCUGAGUUCCAGGGUGAGGUGAGCAGUCCCAAGCAAGCUGCGGCUCUGUUCUGUUUUCACUCUCCUUUUCUGUUUCCAGCCAAAGGACAUUCUCAACAAUCUUGGUGAUGCCAGGAGGCCCAGACGGGAUGGAAAACCAGUAGGCACACUUCUGCUUCUUGUCCUUAUCUCCCCUCUGGCUCUUCAUGCGACUCCAUUUGGAAAUAAACUGCAAAACCUAAUAGAUUUUCCAUGGAAAUGUGGCACAUACCAGGGAACAGUCCAUUCUCCUGGCUGCCUUAGUGAGGCCAAAAUCGGUGCUAGAGAAGGUUCUCUCAGCCACGGUGUCAUCCUGGAGACUUUGAGGGGGUGGGGGUGGGCAGGGUUUCUUUCAUUAUCUGCUCUCCCUCUCAGCAAGUUGGUGUGUCUUGAAUAGCUCCUCCAGGUCACAGCUUUGUUCCCUCCCCGCUUUUCCUUGACACUCUCCAAAGCACUGUUCUCCAGCCAUAUUUUGGUGUUUGGAACUAAUAACUAUGUAUCUGAAAACACUCUUUUUCUGGGUGGCAGUAAGUUGAUUCCAGAACAAUUGUGGUGCUUUUCUGUUUUGGUUUGUUUGUGUUUGAGAGGGCCUAAAAAGCUCCUGGGCCUUGGAUUUUUUUCUUUCUUUUUCUUUUUAGGGCCACACCUGAGGCAUAUGGAGGUUCCCAGGCUAGGGGUCCAGUCGGAGCUACAGCUGCCGGCCUAUGCCACAGCCACAGCCACAUCAGAUCUGAGCCACAUCUAUGACCUAUGCCACACAGCUCACAGCAACACCAGAUCCUUAACCCACUAAGCAAGGCCAGGGAUUGAACCCGCAACCUCACGGUUCCUAAUCAGAUUCAUUUCCACUGUGCCACGAUGGGAACUCCUGAGGCCAGGGAUUGAACCUGCACCUCAGCAGCGACCUGAGCUGCAGCAGUGACAAUGGUGGAUCCUUAACCUAAUGCGCCACAAGGGAAUUUCAGAAUAACUGUGGUUUUAAUACAAAAUCUGCCCGAUUGGUCCCAGACAGGAGAUUUGGGGCCUGGACUGCAGAGGAACCCUUUUAGGAGAGCAUGACAAAUGGGUAUUUCAACAUUUUGUCUCAGGGCCAUGGAAUCAUGGCAGCGUUAGACCCGCCUCCCCACCAAAGCUUGGGGAAGCAGCACACAGACGAAGAGGCUGAGUCAUAUGGACAAAGCUGGCUGUAAGGGAAACACUUUCAGUUGCUUUAGAAAUCAAUUUGUUACCAUCUAAGAUGUUCUCCAGAAAAGUUGUUUUUUGAUUGAUGGCAAAAAACCCCCUUCCAUUUGCAACUUUUUCCUUCUAAGACAAAAAUCAGAGGCCAAGAUCCUGACUCUCUCAAGUCUGAAGACCUAAGAUGAAGGAUUAAUAGAGGUGGAAAAAGUUAAAUGAGAGUUUACAUGUGACAUCCUUAAAGAAGCC
rnacentral:lncRNA from 1 species